rnacentral:rRNA from 1 species
UACGUAGGGUGCAAGCGUUAAUCGGAAUUACUGGGCGUAAAGCGUGCGCAGGCGGUUUUGUAAGUCAGAUGUGAAAUCCCCGGGCUUAACCUGGGAACUGCGUUUGAAACUACAAGGCUAGAGUGUGGCAGAGGGGGGUGGAAUUCCACGUGUAGCAGUGAAAUGCGUAGAUAUCAGGAGGAAUACCGAUGGCGAAGGCAGGUCUCUGGGCUAGAACUGACGCUCAUGCACGAAAGCGUGGGGAGCAAACAGG